CCGCGGAGCCACUUUCUGAGUUCUUUAGUAACUCUAAUCUAGCUCUGAGGAAGGUCCCUGGAUCCCCGACAGAGAGUGUCGUAGCAUAAAUGCUGCUAGCCUCCGCCGUCAUCUCGAUCUCGGAUGGGACGUUGUGUGCGGUUGUUUCACGACUUCCAUGCGUGACUGAUCUUCGAGAUGGGCGAGAGUGUAUUGGUCAAAGUAAAGUAAUGUGCGCAUCGGUCGCCUGACCGAUAACUCAACAGGGCCUUUUACGAGGAAACUUUUUUUUUAUUUUUAGAUUUACGAUGUUAUUCGGACAAUUCUGAAAAUCUUACGCUUUCCUUAAAGGGGAGACUACUAUGAGGUUUAAAAGACGCGGGCGAUUGGAGUGAGAUUUCUCAAGCAAUAGGUUGUCAGCCGGAAACUGUUAUUUAUAAACAAAUGGUGAUGAUCAAUCGAUUGUAAUUCGUUAGCAAGUGACUGUAAUUCAUCUCUUAACGUCUAAGAGUUGUUCAAUUAUUUAUUAAAUUAGGAAAACUAAUGACGCAUACAAUUAGCCCGAAUUUUUUUGUUUUAGACUCUAUUUAAUUUUUAUUCACUCCAAUCGAUUGUAAUUUGUUAGCAGGUAAAUGCAAUGCAUUUGUAAACGUUUAAGAGUUACCCAAUUAAUUAUUAAAUUAGAAAAAUUGGUUACGCGUACAAUUAGCCGAAUUUAUUUUUUUUACAUUUUUUUAUAUUUUUAUUCACUCCAGUCGAUUGGAAAUCGUUUGUAGUAUACUAAUUUGAUGUUUCUAAUGUUCAAGAGUAGAAGGGUUGAGUUAAAGCAGCUAAUUAAAAUUUUCAUCAGUUCACACUGUCCGAUCGGCCUCUGACGUCAUUGAUGUCGUGGCAUUCUAAGCUGCUUUUUUCCAUUUUGGAGUGAUUUUCUCGAGUGCAAAUAAAAAAGUUUGCUUUACAAGAAACAAACGGGAGAUUGGACAGAAAAAUAAUCAGGAAUUGUAAAAAAGUAAUCUCAAAUUGCUACAACAUCUGUACAACUGGAUCUAACAGUUCGGACUAAGUGGAGAGUGGAAAAUCAUUUUGUUUCGGAUUUUCUAAUUACAAUUACAAUAUUUGGUUCAUCAUCAUACAUGGCACCCCAAGCUUUUACUUCUAUUUUCUGCAUAAUUCUGGAGGAGAAAUAAAUUCAGAUUAUGAUGGGGGAUUAGUUAUCUGGAAAUCUCCCAGAAGGGGCAUAACUUAGACUUACGAUGGUGGAUAAGCAAGCAGAAGUCAUUCAGAAAUAUUAGCAAAAGUGUCGCGAUGGAAAUCGAGCUGUUAAAUGGAAGCAAUAUUCACUGGAAUAGAAUGGACCAGAAGGUGAUGAAAAUUUCUCAUCGAACGUCAAUGAUGGGAUCCUUCUACCUGGCGUUUCUGAUGGGAUUGACAUUACGAAAGAAAUAUGCCUCCGGCUUCUCGUACUGCAGUACAGGAUGCGAUUUCGAGCCUGAUAAAAUUUGAAAGUCAUUUCUCAAAUGGAGAAAUACCUGUUUAUUCUCACUCAGUAUGGAAGGAAUUGGCCAAGGAACACAAGGGAGCUUGGAGUGCCCAUAAUUGGUACAACAACGUGAAGAAAAAUCUCCGGGGAAUAUGGACCAAGGCAUCUGAACACUGGAAUUUCGAUUGUGCCAAGAGUGACCAACUAGGAGACACGCUGAAUUCAACAUUGGGACAAUUUGAGGCAUCCUUCAAAAUUGUGUUACGUGACGAUAGGGAUGGAGAUUCGUGGUUUGAGUGUUUCCUCAGUUUGAUAGAGUGGACAAGACUUUUUGAGCCCCUGAGAAUGGAUAAUUUGGAAGGAAAAGUAAAAUUCAUGCUGCCUCCGGGUCAGUGGGGAAAUGAUUUAGAUACGAUUUUUUGGAGACAGAAUAGAUUGCCCUGUUCAUAUUUACUCGAAGGUGCUGAAGUUGACACAUGUUCUUCUAGUUUUCUCAGAAUGUCGGGUAAUUGUAGAAAUAAACACUGCCAAAGUGAAUUUUAUGCAUAUGCCAAUAUCAAACCUACAGCAGUUAAUGAUGAACUCCUUAUUCGAGUGAGGACUCGAGACACUCGUGGGAUCGAACAUGAGAAAGUUCAACCUCAUUUGGAUGAAACGAGAAAACGAACAGUUCCUAAGCCAAAGCACAAUAAACCGGCAGGAAAGCAGACGCGUCGCGUAACUACAUCAUGUUCAGAUUCAUCUUCACUAUUAAAAAAAGAGCCCGGCAACGAAGAUCUUGUAACACGAGUGUUUCAUAUGCAGUUUUCUUAUCCUUUCAUGGGAUCCAUUCACGAUGUUUCGUACGAUCCGUAUUAUACAUUCUAUGCACUUCCGUCUCAAUUAUUUGUAUACAAAAGACAUCAUGCAUCUACGCGAAGCUCAGCCAUCAGCAUUGGUGUCCUUAAUAAGUGUGCUCAAGAGUUACAUCGUCCAGAGGGACUUCAGUCAUACUCAAUUUCAAUGUAUACCAUCGUCAUUAAAUUCGAAGGUGAACUAUUCCCAGUUUAUCAGAUGUUGUGUGAGAAUAAGCGAAUGGAAACUCGGGAGUUUGGGAUGAAACGGUGGCUUCGUAGAGUGCAGUCUAAACCAAAGCAAGUAUUCGUAGGCUUAUCACCUAGUCUGUUGAGUGUAUGUACACAAAGUAUUAAUGAUAUUUCUCUCGAACGAUAUAUUGACGAGGUUUUUCGAGCGAUCGUUGAGGAGCUAGAUCUACGUUGUAGUUUGGCCGUCUUAAAAGUCGACGUGAAAGAUUUGAUUGGAGCAGUACUUGGAUGGCCAUGUUUAAAAUCUGUUGAUUCGUCUCAUAUUCGCCACUUUUAUUUAAAAUGGAUUGUCGUCCUGGCAAAAUGUCCAACCAUCACCGAAUUCAAGGAAGUUUUCUCACUCGUCUGUAUUGUCAGUCUCCACAACUAUAGAGAUUCAAUCCUUAAUUCACCACUUGCCUCUACGCCAGACUGUGCAAGAAAAAAACUGGCGAAUUAUUUCGUGGAUAAAAAUUUUUCCAUCGACAUGGAUCUUACAAAAUGGGGAGUGAAAAUUAUUUAGAGAUCGACGACUGCAAAGAUAAAAAUUUUAUAAAGUUUACGAAAAUGAGUACAUUUCUUGAGAACGUGAUUCAUGAAUUACGGAAGACUGGUGAGAUUCCUCAGACUCUCAACACACUGCGCUCUUCUGAUACCUCAAAAAUUGUAAUUUUCGUUGAAGAAAUAGUAAUCUCUUGUCUACGAAUCCAACACAGAGGAGAGGAUUUAAGUGCCUACUUCCUUCCAACAAUCAUGAAUGAUCUCUUCCAAUUGGCAAUCCAGUUUCCAAUAUGAACAUCUGUAAAUCCUUGAGGAAAAUUACGCCUGGAAUCCACGAAUCAUUCACGAGAGUAUGUUGAGACUUUGAGGAAACGACUUGAGGGAAAACGAAGUCAUCUCCUUGAAAUCGAUAAAUUGCUGCAAUUCCAUCUUUCUGAUCUGAAAAAAAAUGGUUUAGUGAGUGCAACGGAGAAACUGGCAUCUGACGAUAUUAAAUUCUCUGGAUUUGUUCAUACAGAUUCCACAAAUCAGGAGAGACAUCUGUCAGAGCUCCGUACUCAUCCAUAUUCUCAUAAAAAUUCUUCUAAAGUUAAUCAUGGUACCUUAAAUGAUGAAUUAGAUAAUAAUUUGAAUGAAGACGUAUCAAUCGAUAAAGAUGAUUGGCAGGUGUUGUUGAUUAUCAGUCUCAACAUUUCAUCGCAUAUUGUCGAAGAUUGACGGGACAUUGGGAGCUCUACAAUAAUCUCAGACCAAAGAUCAGUACCUGCCUUGCUACAACCGAAAUAACACCACAAUGUGCCAUUUAUAUCCUCCAAACUUUUGAGUGAAGGUGUUAUGAGAAAUAAUUGCCAAACGACGCACGAAAGAUCCCCUCGCUGUCUCGAUGAAGCCAGAAGUGGGACCGAUCCCUCAACGGGCCAGACACUAAACUCAAGCAAAUAUUCAAUGCACUAUGUGAAAAAUUGUCCCUGUACUUUUGACGAUACUUCUGAGCCUUCAAUCCCCUUCUUCAAAUAAUUUUUUUCAAUUUAAUUGACGUUAGUCGAAGCAGAUUACUCGAGAAACAACAUGGAAUUAUCAUGUCUACUCAGUUGAAGGCUAUGGCGCCCCACCCCCUCGAUCAGUUUAUUUUCCCGUUACCUCUCAUUUGCGAUUGUAUUACUCAUUUUAUAAUGCUCAUCUGUAUAUUGUAUCGUAGUUUCUUAAUAACAAUUGAAGAGAGACAUAGAUUGAGAUAAUGGUAAAGGGUGAAUACAGAUGAAGAUUUUUUUUUAUCCGUGAUGCAGAAUUCCGGAGUUUUAAAAAUUAAAAAACUUAAUGCAAUUUUCACUCACCUAUUGUAAUUUUCAAGUGUAUUAGAAGACGGCAACGAACUUCAAAUGACUGAUAUUUUUAUUGUACCAGUGGAUGCUUCAAGACUGAUAGAUAAGAGAGAAAAAAACGUUGAACGAACUUUUCACUUCUACUCGAUUCCGAAAUUUUCAAGAAUUUCUAGGUGAAUUGAAUAUCGUGGAAGAUUCUUGAAAAUCACACUCUCGUUUUAUAGAUUUCUGCUUGUUCUAGAAGACUAAAUAAGUCGAAUAGUCUUGGAAAAAAUGUAACCCACAUAGCUAGUUCUCACUGUGAAACAUACAAUCCAGAAAAUUGAAAAUCUGUUUGACGUUAUACUUUCAUGUUCCAUUGAAAUUGUUAGAAUUGUUCAUGCGUCAAAAAAUGCGUUUUCUGUAGCAUUACAAAAUGUUUUUUUAUUGGUUUAAAAAAUGUUAGACAUAUAUUUAUAAGAAAAAAUAUUUUAUUAAGAGUCAUUACGUUAUUAACAUGGAUGUUAAGAUAAUGAAGAGUUUUUGCAAUAAAGACUAAAUAGGAAAGUAGCA